AUCUAUUCUGUAUCUUUUAUCGUUAUCGUUAUAUACCGAAAAUCAUCGCUUGCGCUAACGACAUUAUAACGAUAAGGAUAUUCUAUAAGUCUUUCUAACGACAUGGCAUCGAUACAAAAUAGGAUAGCGACAUCGUUAUCAAAACGAUAAAACUCGGUUCGAAGUAACUCUAAUAUUGUUCUAUUCAGCCAAUCAAAGCUCAGUAUUUUUAUAAAAUAUGACAAAAAGACAGGCAAGAGCUACAUCUCGACAAAUAGAAGCGCUUGUCACGUACUUGGAGCAACAUCCACAUGUGGCAUCAGGAAAAUUUUAUACAUUGGAGGGCAAGAACACCUUACAAGGAAAUUUACAGGUACAUCUUCCACACGUUUAGGAGUGCAGUUACAUGAAGCUCGACAAUCAUUUGAAAAGAUUGCAGAUAAACAUGCAGAAGCAAUGCGAAUGUUAGCUGAAGCAAUGAAACUUCAAGCAGAAGCUCUCGUUCAAUUAGGCCAAGUUAUUGAUAAAUUCAUAAAUAAAGAAACUAGUUGUGACAGAAAUAUUAUUGAUAAUGAAUAUUAACAGAUUAAGUAUUGCAUUUAAUUAGUAUGUAGUAUUUCCAGAAUCCAAAGAUGUCUUUCAAAGAGUUAUGUUUGAGAAGAGUUAUGUUUGAGUUAUGAAAGAGAAUGUUUUA